AAAAGAUUAAUUUAUAUGUAAAAUAUUUAUUUGUCAAAUAAAAAAAACCUAAGAAACUAAGUAUCUUUUA
rnacentral:tRNA from 1 species